rnacentral:snRNA from 1 species
AUACUUACCUGGCAGGGGAGAUACCAUGAUCACGAAGGUGGUUCUCCAUUGCACUCCGGCUGUGCUGACCCCUGCGAUUUCCCCAAAUGCGGGAAUCUUGACUGCGGGAAACUCGACUGCAUAAUUUCUGGUAGUGGGGGACUGCGUUCGCGCUUUCCCCUG